GACGAACCGUGCGAACGUUAUUCGGAAUCACUGGGCUUAAAGGGUGCGUAGGCGGGCCGUCUAGUCAGGGGUGAAAUCCUCCAGCUCAACUGGAGAAGUGCCCUUGAUACUGGCGGCCUCGAGGGAGGUAGGGGCGUGCGGAACUUCCGGUGGAGCGGUGAAAUGCGUAGAUAUCGGAAGGAACACCGGUGGCGAAAGCGGCGCGCUGGACCUCUUCUGACGCUGAGGCACGAAAGCCAGGGGAGCAAACGGG
rnacentral:rRNA from 1 species